GUCUCCGUAGCUCAGUAGGAUAGAGCAAUCCCCUCCUAAGGGAAAGGUCGUUGGUUCGACUCCAAUCGGGGACACCA
rnacentral:tRNA from 1 species